AUCACUGCUAUCCUCAACCCAAAAGACCACCAGUUGGCGCAGCAAUACUAAAGAUAGGAGGUUGUGGUUGUUGCACAGACGCGGAGUGAUAUCACGCACAAAUGUGCCCUAUGUUCUAUAUACCGUAUUUUCGCAACCAUAGGUACUGAUACUGAUGUGUGUAUGUCUGUGUGUGAUAGUGGAAAAAUCACAUGUUCAUAUAUCCUCUUUCAUAUGUUAUUAAGUCACAUGUUCAUAUAUCCUCUUUCAUAUGUUAUUAAGUCACAUGUUCAUAUAUCCUCUUUCAUAUGUUAUUAAGUCACAUGUUCAUAUAUCCUCUUUCAUAUCUUAUGAAGUCACAUGUUCAUAUAUCCUCUUUCAUAUCUUAUUAAGUCAUAUGUUCAUAUAUCCUCUUUCAUAUGUUAUUAAGUCACAUGUUCAUAUAUCCUCUUUCAUAUGUUAUUAAGUCACAUGUUCAUAUAUCCUCUUUCAAAUGUUAUUUGUUGUGGUUCGGUUUCUGGUCGGUACUCGGACUUCUCACCUCCCCCCCUACCUGCAGGAACGGCAUUCAUUUUUGUGAUGUUAGAUUUGAUAUUUUCUUAAUUUGAAACGUUACUGUGUUUGCUUAUGUGUUUAUCUGCUUUGUGUUAUGUGACUGAGGAUCAAAACAUUUUUACAUGUACAUUUUGGCAAAAGUUAAAAAUACAUUUGUGUAAUGCUAAUAGUUUAAUAUCAUCUUGUCGAAAUAUUUGCAUGAGGAAGUUUAUGUAAUGACCGAAACUACAUUUUGGGUAGAAAUAAAGUUGAUGAGCCCUUAUAUUUUCUGUUAAGUUUAAAUGUAUUUUUUAUUUUACUCUUUAUUUGCAUAUUUGAAUGAAACUUGAACGCAGUUGUCUGCUCCUUUGUUUACUUCCGGUUACUGUCGCUAAUUUCCGGUCUCGUGAGCUAACUCUCGCUAGCUUGUCACUGACGGUGGUUGUCAGCGCAGCAUCAGCGAGUCUCCAGCCCGGACGCGGCUGCCUGGACAAGGUGAGCUGGAUGACCCGGAGAAGCGUCCUUUUAGUCCGUUUUUGCGAGGAUGACAGAAACGGGAACCUUUGGGCAGGUCCUGUGAAGUUGGACACGUCGGUGAUUGAGAAGUGGAAAAAAUACAUUUCACAUUGGAGAUGUGGAACCAGAGAAGGAUCCAAACGCUGCGGAAUAGGCUUCCUCCUCAAAUGGGGUGAAAUCCGUAAAUGUCUGGUCAUCGGCGAAGUCGCGGCCCAGGCUUUGGUCGGCCGGGUCCAUUUCCCCACUUUCUUGUCUUUCUCGCUCCUCCUGUGA
rnacentral:lncRNA from 1 species